GAUGAACGCUGACAGAAUGCUUAACACAUGCAAGUCAACUUGAACUUCGGUUUGGGUGGCGGACGGGUGAGUAACGCGUAAAGAACUUGCCUCACAGAUAGGGACAACGUUUGGAAACGAAUGCUAAUACCUGAUAUUAUGAUUAUAUGGCAUCGUAUAAUUAUGAAAGCUGUAUGCGCUGUGAGAGAGCUUUGCGUCUCAUUAGCUAGUUGGAGAGGUAACGGCUCACCAAGGCGAUGAUGGGUAGCCGGCCUGAGAGGGUGAUCGGCCACAAGGGGACUGAGACACGGCCCUUACUCCCACGGGAGGCAACAGUGGGGAAUAUUGGACAAUGGACCAAGAGUCUGAUCCAGCAAUUCUGUGUGGACGAUGAAGUUUUUCGGAAUGUAAAGUGCUUUCAGUUGGGAAGAAAAAAAUGACGGUACCAACAGAAGAAGUGACGGCUAAAUACGUG
rnacentral:rRNA from 1 species